rnacentral:rRNA from 1 species
UACGAGUGCCCCAAGCGUUAUCCGGAAUUAUUGGGCGUAAAGGGUGUGUAGGUGGUUUUGUUAGUCUUCUGUUAAAUUCUUCGGCUUAACCGGGGGUCAGCAGGGGAAACGGCAAGACUAGAGGAUGCGAGGGGUGAAUGGAACUCAUAGUGUAGGGGUGAAAUCCGUUGAUAUUAUGGGGAACACCAAAAGCGAAGGCAGUUCACUGGCGCAUUCCUGACACUGAAACACGAAAGCGUGGGUAGCGAAUGGG